rnacentral:sRNA from 1 species
UUAUGAACAACGCAAAUUAUCACGUUCUCGAGGACAAAUUUUGGUGCGAGGUAGCUCAAUUUUUUUGCGGACGCCCAAGACCACUGAAGUUCCUCGAACAGAAUGAAGACGAAAAUCCCAGCGAACAAUCUUGGGUGCGGUGCUUCCCUGUCCUUAUUUGGGCAAUGGGGAGGAUCGCAAUGAUUGAGCGCACAU